AUUGAACGCUGGCGGCAGGCCUAACACAUGCAAGUCGAACGAGUAGCGGACGGGUGAGUAAUGUCUGGGAAACUGCCUGAUGGAGGGGGAUAACUACUGGAAACGGUAGCUAAUACCGCAUACCAUCAGAUGUGCCGAGAUGGGAUGAGCUAGUAGGUGGGGUAAUUGCUCACCUAGGCGACGAUCCCUAGCUGGUCUGAGAGGAUGACAAGCCACACUGGAACUGAGACACGGUCCAGACUCCAACGGGAGGCAGCAGUGGGGAAUAUUGCACAAUGGGCGCAAGCAUGAUGCAGCCAUGCCGAGUGUGUGAAGAAGGCCUUCGGGUUGUAAAGCACUUUCAGCGAGGAGGCGUUACUCGCAGAAGAAGCACCGGCUAACUCCGUGCCAGCCGCCGCGGUAAUUC
rnacentral:rRNA from 1 species